UCAAGGCAAUCAAUUCACGAAUAAAUGCACAAUUAAUAAUGCCAUCAGUAGAUGAGCUAUAGGUUUUGGGUGUAAAUAUACUAUAUAAAUAUUCCUCGCAAAAAAUAUACUAUAAAUAUUUUUUACUAUAUAUAUGAGCUGUAUGUUUUGGGUGUAUAUCAACAUACACAUUUAUAGGAUACAGAUCCAUGAUUAAAUUAAUGUGUUUAAACGUUAAUAUUAUGUAAAUAAGUCGAAAACUUGUAGCAUGCACCUAUGUGUCCAUUAUAAAAAGCCAUCUAAGACCCUAAUCACAGAGCAGGAACCCAGGCAUAUCUGAAAAGAUUGGCUUGACAUCCCAGUAAACACGCUAUCUCUCUCUCUCUCUCUCUCUCUCUCUCUCUCUCUCCACCAUCAAGCCAGGAUGAGGUCGUUGUACAAGAUGCUACUAUUUUCGCUUGCCCUUGUUGCGCUGCUAUCCUCAGAUCUGAUGAUCCAGGCGACGGCUAAUGGUGGCGGCUCGCUAAUCCCUGAAGACUGCCGGCAGACCCCUGUCAUCCGUGGGCCGUGUAACCCCAAGGCUUGUCAACACAACUGUCAAACCAACGUCGGCCCCGGUGCCGUUGGCGAUUGUGAUGCCGGUGGAUGCCGGUGCACAUACUGUACUCCAUCUCAGUGGAAUUAAGCAGUGAUUGUUGCUUAAUUGCUCUCCGAUAGUAUGCGAAAUCUUAGUUUUUUUUCUGUCUGGCUACCUGUCAAAUACUCCUACUUGGAAACUCAAAUCAGGAAUGUCAGAAAUUUGAUCGAUUCGAGGGGCAGUUGCCUUAUUAGCA